rnacentral:rRNA from 1 species
UGAGGAAUUUUCGUCAAUGGGGGCAACCCUGAACGAGCAACGCCGCGUGCAGGAAGAAGGUUUUCGGAUCGUAAACUGCUUUUCUCGGGGAAGAGAUUGGACGGUACCCGAGGAAUCAGCCCCGGCUAACUACGUGCCAGCAGCCGCGGUAAUACGUAGGGGGCAAGCGUUGUCCGGAGUUACUGGGCGUAAAGCGCACGCAGGCGGUUCUCUCAGUUCCCCCUGACAGUCGUCGGCUUCACUGACGAAGGAGUGGGAAGACGGGAGAACUUGAGGGCUUCAGAGGGACACGGAAUUCCGGGUGGAGUGGUGAAAUGCGUAGAUAUCCGGAGGAACACCAACAGCGAAGGCAGUGUCCUGGGAAGUCGCUGACGCUCAGGUGCGAAAGCCAGGGGAGCGAACGG